rnacentral:misc_RNA from 1 species
GAUGAAGAACGCAGUGAAAUGCGAUAAGUAAUGUGAAUUGCAGAAUUCAGUGAAUCAUCGAAUCUUUGAACGCACCUUGCGCCCUUUGGCUAUUCUGAAGGGCAUGCCUGUUUGAGUAUCAUGAACACCUCAACUCUCAUGGUUCGCCAUGAUGAGCUUGGACUUUGGGGGUCUUGCUGGCCUACGGUCGGCUCCUCUCAAAUGAAUCAGCUUGCCAGUGUUUGGUAGAGUCGCAGGUGUGAUAACUAUCUACGCUUGUGGUUUUCUGCCAGAUAACCUUCAGUGAUGGAGGUUCGCUGGAGCUUAUAAAUGUCGCUCCCCAGUGAGGACAGCUUUUUGAACGUUUGAUCUCAAAUCAGGUAGGACUACCCGCUGAACUUAAGCAUAUCAAUAAGCGGAGGA